rnacentral:lncRNA from 1 species
GAGGCUUAGCCGCCACCGCGCGCUUCGGAAGGCCGGAGGGAGGGGGAGGCCUGUCAGUCUCGCGCGUUGCCUGGGCGAAGGGGGCGGAGCUUUGGCGUGGGGCGGCCAAUAGUGGGGGUGGCUGCGUGGGUCGCCAUGGGGACGGGGCUGUUCCCGGGGAGGCUGUGAUGGGUUGACAGGUGCGUGACAGUGGGAGCUGCUCUCGGCACAAGCAUGUACGGCAAAGGCAAGAGUAACAGCAGCGCCGUCCCGUCCGACAGCCAGGCCCGGGAGAAGUUAGCACUCUACGUAUAUGAAUAUCUGCUCCAUGUAGGAGCUCAGAAAUCAGCCCAAACAUUUUUAUCAGAGAUAAGAUGGGAAAAAAACAUCACAUUGGGGGAACCACCAGGAUUCUUACAUUCUUGGUGGUGUGUAUUUUGGGAUCUCUACUGUGCAGCUCCAGAGAGACGUGAAACAUGUGAACACUCAAGUGAAGCAAAAGCCUUCCAUGAUUACAGUGCUGCAGCAGCUCCCAGUCCAGUGCUAGGAAACAUUCCCCCAGGAGAUGGCAUGCCAGUAGGUCCUGUACCACCAGGGUUCUUUCAGCCUUUUAUGUCACCUCGGUACCCUGGAGGUCCAAGGCCCCCAUUGAGGAUACCUAAUCAGGCACUUGGAGGUGUCCCAGGAAGUCAGCCAUUACUCCCCAGUGGAAUGGAUCCAACUCGACAACAAGGACAUCCAAAUAUGGGUGGGCCAAUGCAGAGAAUGACUCCUCCAAGAGGAAUGGUGCCCUUAGGACCACAG